GAUCAGACAGACAUGAAUUAGUCACAGUAAUGGGUUGUUUUGUUCAUUAUAGAUCAGGAGCUACCUUCAUAUAACAUAGGGUUGAUCUCUGCUGCUGUUGGAUCUCUUUUGGUUGUAGCCACAGUCGUGAUGUGCUGCAUCUGCAAGAAAUGUAGGAAAAUUGACAGAGAAGUUCAGACUUGUGAAGAACUCACUUAUGCUGAGCCAACGUUCUACAAAAGAAAAGCACAAAGCACAUUGAAUGUUAAAGAGGAGGACCAUGUGGUGUAUGCUCCAGUCACCAUGAGAAGAUGAUCAAACUUUUUCUAAGUACCAGAUCCUGCUGUAUGAUCACUUAAACUUUCAUUGAGUUUUGGUGAGAAUCAGAGAAUCACCACAUGCACCACAUGCAACCCACAAGACUUUCAUUUCAUCUUUGGAAAACAAACUUUUUAAUGUUCUUUUUCUUCUUCUUUUUUUUGAUCCAUCAAUUUUGUAGCUUUAGAAAGUAAAUAAAGACUUGCUUGAUGUGCA
ensembl:lncRNA